CUUGACGACCAUAGAGCAUUGGAACCACCUGAUCCCAUCCCGAACUCAGCAGUGAAACGAUCGCCGAUGGUAGUGUGGGGUUUCCCCAUGUGAGAGUAGGUCAUCGUCAAGA
rnacentral:rRNA from 1 species